CCAAAUGUACGACCAUUCGUAGCCUACCCAAGCAUGCGUCGCUGGUAACAGCGGGGUGUGAAGCCUUGGGGACAAUGUACUCACGCGAAAGCGUUAUCGAUUUCAUGUGAAUGAUUCGAUAGACACUGCCAGCAGCAAGGUGGUCGAGAGG
rfam:Herbaspirillum sp. TSA66 contig01, whole genome shotgun sequence.